AAACCGAAAGAGAAGAGCAGAGAGAAGCACGUCUGGGGCGACUCCUCCUAUUGCAGUUAAAGGUACUCAGGUCCUGUGUGACCAGAAGAAAACAGCUGCGAAGGAAAUUCUGGUGACCCUGGAGGCUGAGAAUUCACCUGCAAAUGCCAAUAACCGAGAGUGCUCCGGACAGGCGGUUCCAUGGUGUAAUGGUGAGCACUCUGGACUCUGAAUCCAGCGAUCCGAGUUCAAAUCUCGGUGGGACCUUGUCGUUAGCUGUGCACAAAAGCUGGUCUUUUAUACUGGAGCCGGAAGGCGUUUCAGGAGGCAAACUCCGCCUCAAAGAUAAAGGGAAAGGGGUGUGGAUUCCGUUUGCCCUUUGUUCCAAGUCCUGGGUCAGAGGAGGGAAAGGUUUGGGUCCCGGGAGGGUUCCCCGCAGGGUGCGGGCUGCUGCAAGUCCCCGCGUCCCUCCUGCUCCCGCCUUGCAGUGCGUCCCCGGUGAUGUCACUUGCGCUCUCCUAUCCCCUCCUCAGGGUACCGGGUCCCAAAAAUUGGUUUCUCACAGUGGCCUGAUCCACAGGGAAAUUGCCAAAACAUCCCAUCGGAGUCACCAAGCCUGGAGGGUCCCCGUCCUGAGCGGGCCUCUUGGCCCCCUGCAAUGGGAGGGGCCAGAGCCCACAGCCAGUGCCCCAGCGACCCAGGAAGCCCCACCCCGUGACCCUGGGUUUUGGGGUGAGAGGUCUCCGCCACUGAAAUGGCUGCCUCGCCUCGAUCCUAGACCCGGAGAUGCCUUUCACCCAGAACAUCUCAUAAUGGCACCCGUUGUCUUUUCGAUUUUUUUGCCGAAUUUCUAGCUCCCACGUCUCUAUUGCGGGCUCUUUGUCGCUGUUUCACUAAGCUUUGGAACCUGACUCUGGAAAUCUCAUUCUUUGGUCCCAAGAUCUCAGCCGGAAAGAAAUCUGCGCAGCGGCCUCUCGAGCUCGCGGACUGGGAGCCCUGGUCCUGAUCCUCCGCAGACUGGAGGGAGCUCCGGCAGGGCCACAGGGAAGAGGAGGCUGAGCAACCCAGAAGGAUGAGUGACAGACGCCGGGGCUCCCACUCGAGCGGCCAGGACCCCGCCCCAAGGAGAAGAGGACGCCUUUGGACCAGACGGAUGCAAAAAUGUUUUCUUCUGCGCAGUAGAACACUUCGGAUGAGGCUCAUGGGCGUUGAGAGCGCGCUAAGAUGUCCCUCCAGGCGCUCAGGACCAUCGCUCUGAUUUUCAUAUUUUGAAAAUAUGAGAAUUUUCAGCAGUUACAAAGGACUGAAAAACACCGAAGUCUUUGAGGCAGUCAGUUUGGAGGGUGUGGGGAGGUGAGGUCCGGGGUGGAAUAGAGGUGCCUUGUUGGCUCCUUGGAGUGCACCGGGAGGAGGGAAAACACACACAUGCUGUUUCCCCUUGCAGGCUGGACUGAAGGGCCUGGGAUGGAAAAUUGCACAGUGAAAGAGGAGCAGGUGCAUUGAAAGUUGCUAUCCCUAGAGAGAAGUGCGGGCGGGGCCAGGACGCUGCCGUCACUGCUGCUGUUCACCACCAGCUUUGCAGCCUGUGAGACCUUCAUAACAGUGUAUAGUGCAUGCAGAUCACUCGUGUUUACAAGCAACUGAUCACAAUUCCUUACAGAUUUCUUUGUUCCUUCCCCACUCCCACUGCUUCACUUGUCUAAACUUAAAGGAAAAAAUAAAACGUUUGUUUUUACACAUGAUGAUGUUUAAGUUGAUCCUCAGCCCACCCUCCUCAAGCAGCUGGGACCACAGGUGUACAACACGGUGUCCAGCUAAUUCUUGUGUAUUUUAUAGUGAUGGGGGUUUUGCCAUGUUGGCCAGGCUGGUCUCGAACUCCUGGACUCAAGUGAUCUGCCUGCCUGGGCCUCCCAAAGUGCUGGGAUUAAGUGCUGACCUGCGUGCCCAGCCAUCAUUUGUAUUUUGCAUUUAAAUAUUUUACAGUCAUAUGUAUCACUUCUCAAAGAUUCUGGGUUUUGUAGCAUGUGAAUGAUGGGGUUCCAGACACGCUACUCCAAAAUAUAACACCUUGAGCUCUUAAACAUUUUAUACUAAAGGGAUUUGAGAAAACAACAGAAGCAGGAAGGCCACUGUCACCUCCCCCUGCCCUUCGUCCCGGAAGCCAAUCAUAAGGCUCUCAUGUGAGAGGUGCCCUCUCUGUACCCAGAGGAAAUGUGCAUCGCUGUGUCUGAAGGUACAGGGACACAGAGAAGAGUCUGAAUGUAUAGGCCUGGCUAUGUUUCCCCCAGCUUAUUACCAUUAGAUGGUACUGUGGGGGUGAUGGCCCACAGGGUCAUGGAUUGUCCCUUAUGCUGUGCUGAGGCACAGGAUCCAAGAAAUAAAGACACAGGACACAGAAGUACAAGGAAAAUGCAGCUGGGCUCGGGGAGCCACGCCACCUAUGAGUGGAGUCAGGCAUUGAGGCCCCGAAUGUCCAGAAGUGUGAGUAUUUAUUGUGUAUAGGUUAGGGGGCAGGGCAGUGAGUGAUGUCAUCUUUAAGGAUAGUGAUAGGGUCGUGAGCAAUAAAACUAGGGGUCCACCCCUAUUCGGUCACCUAGGCUGGGAGAUGGACAGUGCACAGCAGGGAGUCCAUUCCCAUUAGGUCAUCGAGGCAAGGGCCAUGUGCAGUAUGGAGUCCAUCCCAUUAGGUCACCGAGGCAUGGAGGUGGGCCGUGUGCAGUGAAGAGGGUGCAGUGUGCAAUACCUCUAUGUAUGGGCAAGCUACUAAGAAGAUUUAAAGGAGGAUGCUUUAAGUCACACAGCAGUGACAGAGCUGUCAGGGUCUACACCACCUGGUGGCAGCUUCCAAUGAGUUCUAUAGGGGAAUGCUUUUCAAGCAGCACAGUAACAAGAGCUGGUAAAGUUCACAGUCGCCAAGGUGCGAUUGCUGGUCUGAGGGCAGCCUCCCACAAGAACUGGAGCAAGGUCCUACAACUCCUUAUCAGGAGGAGUGGCUCUCGCCCCAAGCCUCCCAUACAGCGGGUAUCUUUACGAUACUGAACGCUGCCCCCUGGGCCAUGGAUUCUUGUCCUGGUGUAACUGCUCUUCCCUUAAAUCAUGCUGUGCACUGUGUCUGCUCUAGGCAUUCCUCCAAUUAUAAGCUGCUUAUUCCUUAAUUCAUGCUCUGUACUCUGUCCACUCUAGGCAUUCCUCUGAUUAUAAACUAAGAUAUCAUUUUAUAUAUAUGGAAAUAACUGAAUGGUAGGAUAUUCUUUAGGCACUCAUUCUAUGAACUAAUAUAUGAUUAUAUAGAGAGGAUUGUACAAAGGGAAAUAACUGAGCAGUAACACUAUAAACUGAGAUAUUCUCCAAGCCCUAUUUCUGUAAACUGAGAUAUUCUCCAGGCCUUAAUUGUGCCAGGAUUCUGCUUAGCUCUCCUUCCUCAGUACCUCUACAGGGGGUUCCCCACAUCGUACUCUUUUCAUUCCUUCACACUUCUCUAUGACUAUCCACUCUUCAUCUAACCUACUGUUAAAGAAAAAAAACCCUGAGGCUUAGCUGUUUCCAUGGGCCUUCAUUUCCUUUGGAAGGCGCUCCAGUCAUGUGAAACUGACAUUAAAUAACUAAGUAUGCUCUUCUCUUGUUAGUCUGUCUUUUGCUGUAAGGGUCUCAGCAGUGAACCUAGGCUGGGCGAGGAAAAAUCAUAUUUCCUCCCCUGCGGGCACAAAUGUCUUCCACUUUAAAACUAUAAAAAUUUUAUUGAGGCUGAUUUGAUGCAAGAAAUCGAAUCACUGAUUUCCUUUAGAUGAGCUAAUAAAGUCCCAGUUCCUCCCAGAGAGAAAUAGGGUUUGGUUUUGUUUUGUUUUUUGAGACCAAGUUUCACUUGUUGCCCAGGCUAAAGGGCAAUGGUGUGAUCUUGGCUCACCCUAACCUCCACCUCCUGGGUUCAAGUG
rnacentral:lncRNA from 1 species